AUUCAGCUCUAUUAUUGCGUCUGCCACAACAACUAUUUCAAAAGACAAGUUUUUAGCAUCAAUUGAUAAAAGCAACUCAUCCAGAGCUGUUGCCUCUGAAUCGCUACCAUCAAGAAAGAUUGGAAGAAACAGAGAGCAUCAGGCAGCUGCUAGGAAGGUUUUGGGUUUAGAAGUUACAUCUCAUGAAGCAGCUGUUCCGCCGUUGUCUCCUCCAGGAGCGAAUGAUGACUCCCUUGUGGAAGUGUGAUCCAAUUUUGGCAUGAUUGCUUCUUCUUCUCAUUCCUGUUCAAAUAGGUGUGACCAUUCUGGUCUAAUUUGCUUGAAGGGAAGAAUCAGGAGAGAAAAGGAAAAGCAAGCAGGCCUUUAGUUGCAGUAUUAGUUCGGUUCAGUUGGUUCUUCCCGAUCAUGAUCCAAGCGCUUGUGUACGUUCUUUAGGAGAGAGAUUUAUGGCCUGGCAACUUUAAAAGAAGUACUCAGGUAGUCAGCUUAUUAUUUUCAUGUAUAGAAACCACAGUGUUGACAGUCAAGUAUUGUAACUAUCAUUAGUUCAUUGUGUGGAAAUUCAAGAGACAAAAUAACUUAUGGAAGUCUCAUGAGACUUGAGAGGAUAUACAUUUGCCUAUGUCUUUUAACUUUUUGUAAUUGAGAGAAUGUAUGCAUAUGAUCUCCCUUUGAUUUAAAAUGAACCAACGUUAUCUUGUUUUUGGUUCAUUUGAUUUCGAUUGGAAUUUGAAUUCUGGAUGUCAAUUUUAAAGAUGAUUUCUG
rnacentral:misc_RNA from 1 species